rnacentral:lncRNA from 1 species
AAAUAGACAUAGAGAGAAAAAGUGAGAGAAAGAGGUAGAAGAUGAGAAUUCAAGAGAAAAGGAGAUCUAACUUGGGGGGAAGCUCAAAAGGGAUAUUAAAGUGAAGAUUAAGGUUGCUUUUGAAGGUUAAGGUAAGAGGGAAAGUUUAUAUUUUCCAUUAAGUGAUUAUGAGUGAUAUGGUAGUUAUGGGUUAUGUUUAAUUAAGUGAUUUUCAUGAAAUUGAUGUUAUGAAUAAGUGACUUUCGUGCUAUCUAAUUAUAUUAAUUAUAGGUAUGUUUAACUUUGUGAAAUUAAGUUGUUUAUUUCCUUAAGUUCAUGUAUGAGGUUAUAAAAUAAGUUGUUUCUGAACAUAUUCCCGAGAGGGUCGCAAUAUAACCUCAAAAACAACUAUUAGUGGUGAUGAUGCAGUAAUGAACGAGUCAGGCGCACUAAUUAGUGGCUAGUUGUAUACAAAUUCCCUUUCUAAUUGUUGAAAGGGAAAAUGGGGUUUCUGGGGUUUCGCUAAUUAUGGGGAUCCGACUCCGAUGAAAUUAGGAAAGCCUGGUAAGAGGUUUCUUGACAAGCUGAAGGAUCUUCUGGAUACUAGGAUUAUGGAGGGAUUGAAAGAGAGAUAUGUCAAGGGACAAAUGGUAUAUUGUUUUGAACUUUUUUUAUUUUGGUCUGGUUUGUGAAAUUGUAAAUUAUGCUAGGAGUUUUUUUUCUUGUGGUGGAUUAGUGUGAUAUGAGUUUAUUCGCAAAUGAUGUAGGCGCGUAAACAGGGAGAAAAGGAGUUACAAGGCAUGAUUAAAGACUCCGGCAUUUUGUGCUAUUAUGGGAGUUGCAGGGGGAAUCAUGCAAGUAAAUGGAAGGAUGGUUAUUGGUUUUUUGUUUGUUUAGGUUUAGCAUCUUGUAGGUUAGUAAUGCGUUUUUUUUUUUUUUUUUUUGCUAUUUGUUGUUUUUUGUUGAGAGGAGGUUGUCUCGCCGACUAUUUUCGAGUUGGAUGCCGAUAGUGCUAAUAAACGUCCUCCGAUGUAUACUUACCUUGAGAAUGGAAAUUUCCUUCGGGAUAUCAUGAAUGCUUGUUCGAGUCUUCUGUUGGACACAUUGGAUGAAGUGGUCCAAAUGGUCCUUGGUGAUUUCACUAUGCAGAAAUCUAAUAUCUGUUUCAAUUGCAGAGAUUUCAAAUGCACAAACUUGCUUUCCUAGCUGUGACAAUAUGUAAUUUGAAAUUCUGUUGAUUAAACAUGUAAUUUUGAUGAACUGUUUGUAGGGUCAAUUUCUGAAUCCAACAUGGCUGACUCAGAAAUUGACCAUACAAACAGUUCAUCAAAAUUACAUGUUUAAUCAACAGAAUUUCAAAUUACAUCUUGUCACAGCUAGGAAAGCAAGUGUGUGCAUUUCAAACCUUUGCAAUUGAAACAGAUAUUAAAUUUCUGCAUAGUGAAAUCACCAAGGACCAUUUGGACCACUUCAUCCAAUGUGUCCAACGGAAGACUCGAACAUGCAUUCAUGACAUCCCGAAGGAAUUUUCCAUUCUCAAGGUAAGUAUACUCCGGAGGACGUUUAUUAGCACUACCGGCAUGCAACUCAAAAACAGUCGGCGAGACAACCUACUCUCAACAAAAAACAACAAAUAGAAAGAAAAAAAAAACGCAUUACUAACCUACAAGAUGCUAAACCUACACAAACAAACAAAAAAAACCAUCCCUCCAUUUACUUGCCUGAUUCCCCUUGCAACUCCCACAAUAGCAUAAAAUGCUGGAGUCUUUAAUCACACCUUAUAACUCCUUUUCUCCCCGUUUACGCGCCUACAUCAUUUACGAAUAAACUCAUAUCACACUAUUGCACCCCAAGAAGAAAAAAAAACUCCUAACAUCAUUCACAAUUUCACAAACCAGACCAAAAUCAAAAAAGUUCAAAACAAUAUACCUUUUGUCCCUUGACAUAUCUCACUUUCAAUCCCUCCAUAAUCCCAGUAGCCAGAAAAUCCUUCAGCUUGACAGAAAACCUCUUACCAGGCUUGCCCAAUUUCAUCGGAGUCACCAUAAUCAGUGAAACCCUAGAAACCCCAUUUUCCCUUUCAACAACAUUAGCAAGGGAAUUUGUAUACAACUCGCCACUAAUUAGUGCGUCUGACUUGUCCAUUUCUGCAUCAUCACCACUAAUAGUAGUGGAAUUUAUCAUUUUUCCCACCAACUACCAGCAGCCGAGAAAAUCGUGCAAUCGUAUGUCCCUAAAUUGAAAACAAAUUAUGUGACUGCAACCAAUAUGCCAACCCCAGUUGCACAGGUUAACCAGGCGUUAGAUAUUGGUGGAUGACCAAUUCAUGGGUGAGUCGUACUUGAUUACGGUUGAUGAGCAGCCCUUUGAGGAAAAUAUUGUGGUGCCAAAACAAGUAGCCAUUACGAAGGCGAGUUUCUUUCCAUAUGACUAUGAAUAAUGUAACAGAUGAAUUAAUCUGAGUUGAUCUUGGUGGUAGAAUUUCGGUUCUUCAGCAAGUGCCACCUAAAAUAUUGGAAACUGAAUCUCCCUCCAAGACGUAGCCACAGACUAAUUCGAGCCAUAUGGUAAUUAGUAUUCCAAAUGAUGACUCUUAAGCAGAUACAACAGAUACCGUUGUUUUGGGACAACAGGAUGGUCUAAAAGAGGAGAAAAUUGAAGAUUCCAAUGAUGAUAUUCUAGCAAAGAGUGCAUCCAAAGAGGUUCCACUUGAACUCCAUGUAACCGAGGUUGAAAAAAGACCGUGAGUUAGUUCAGAAGUUUAUGAAUAAUGAGAAGAUUGAUUAUGAGGCCUCAUUCACUACUUACGUCUCAGAGCCAGAAGAAGAAAAACAAGCUCAACUGAGGUUCUUGAUAAUCAUCUUCUUGCUUGUUGCAAUACAAGGUGACUUUCUGACACAUGUUUCAUCUUUAGGAUUGCAUGUUUCAAUUAGAGGUAUUUGGGUAACCAUGUGCAACAAUUGAAAACUUGGUAUCAAUAUAUAGCUCCUACAAAAACAAUUUAAGUAAAUAUAUAGUGGCGCACAUAUCGAUUAGAUAUAAAUUUGUCGCAUGAUUAUUCACAUAUAUAAUACACCUGAAUUUUAUUACAUGGUUAAAGUAGUUCAAAUACAUGAUUUGCCUUAAAAAAAUAGUUAUUAUAGGUUUUAUAGGUUAUUUGAUCAUCUAACUAAUUUCCAAUUUUUAUUUUAAUCUCAUAAUUAAUAAAACUCAUACAUAAUUAAUAAAACUCAUGUUUUAAUCUCUGAAAUUUGCCUGUAGUCAAAUAAAUCUCUAAUUGUUAAGUUUAACCUCAAAUAUUUGUGGUGAACAAACCUUAAGAGUGGCACACCAUAGAUCAUAUUAAUUAUUUUAAUUUAAAUUGUUUGAUCUUUUUUAUUAAAAGAGGAUCGUUAAUUCAUGCAUGUCUAGUAUAUCUUAUGGUGAAUCAACAACAUCUAACUUUAUAUUCAAUUCUUCCUCUUCUUCCUUCCCCUCAUUCAUCACCUUCAUAAAAAAAAAAUUAGAAAAAUUCCAGAAAACACAACCAACAUAAACCAAUCAAAAAACAUUAAUGACAUAACUAUUUUUCCUCAAAACAUAUAAAUCUUUCAACCCUAAAAUCAUAUUGGUAACAACAAACAAAAUUUCAGAAUAAUCAAAAACCCACAAUUUAUAACGCAAAAAAUAGGUUGUUGCCAAUGAUUUUAGGUGGAAAGAUUUAUGUGUUUUGAGGGAAAUUAAUUAUGUUAUUAAUGUUUUUAAUUGGUUUAUGUUUUUGUUGUGUUUUCUGAAAUUUUUCAGAUUUUUUUUAUGGAGGUGAUGAAUGAGGGGAAGGAAGAAGAUGAAAAAUAAGACAUAAAGUUAGAUGUUGUUGGUUCACCGUAAGAUACAGUAGACAUGCAUGAUCUAACGGUCCUCUUUUAAUCAAAAAAGAUCAUACGGUUUAAAUUAAAAUAAUUAAUAGGCCCUGUAGUGAACCACUCUUAAGGUUGGUUACCAUAGACAUUUGAGGUUAAACUUAACAUUUAAGGGACCAAAACAUGAGUUUUAUUAAUUAUGGGACUAAAAUGAAAACUGGAAAUUAAUUAGGAAAUCAAAUGACUUAUUAAGCCUUAAUUAUAUUUAAAGGUUAAAUAUGUUUUUAGUCCUUAUAAAAUAGGAACCUUUCAAGUUUAAUCCUUACUUAAUUUUAAUAGGUUUUUUAAUUCCUACAAAAGAAUUGCUUCUAAUUUUAAGCCCUGUUACAACAAAGUUUGAUGUAAUAAGAGAUGGAUGGGGGAGAAAGAAAGAAACUUCAAUCGGUAAAGAAACGCAGAGAGAAAGAAACCAGAGAAGAGGGAAAAGUUGUAGGAGAGAUAUACCAAGAGAGACAAAAUCAGGGGAGAAGAGCCAACAAAAUUGGAGAUUUGUUCAUCCACUGAGGGAGAUAACAACUGAAAACAAUGAACAACUCCACGAACGGAAGGAAAGGAGAUUCAGGAUCUUGGAGCCCUCCAUAUCAAAAUUUGUGUUGAAACAACAAUUAGGAAAUGAUUUUUCAAAUUUAAGUUUGUUCUGUUUGGAGUUGGGAAGUAGUUGUAUUCCAUCUGGAGCAAUAUAAAUAUUGUUUCUUAAUUUAUUUCAUCUAGGUUCUUACACAACCAGAAGUGGUUGUUCUAUCUAAGUUUACAAUGUUGAGCCAUUUGGAGCUUGGUUCAGUUUUUGUUGGGGGACAUAAAAUCUGACCGGUUCUCAAUACUCUAGUUUUUAAGGUUGGUAAUUAGCAUUAAUUUAAUUUACUUUAACCUUAUUUAUCCUCUUAUUUGAACUCAUAUUUACAACUUUGAUUAAGUAUAUCAACGUGUGGUCAAAAUAAUAGUUUAGUAAAAUAAAGCAUAUUUUCUGGAA